CCCUUUCACCCACAUCCUUUGCGCCAUGGCCGAGCCAAAGUUGAUUGUUUUAGCAAGGUCGAGUAGGAGCGUGAGGAGCGUGGGCACGACAACCUUGUCAUGCUCGAUGACAGCGGCGAUGAACGCUAGCGCUCCUCGUCGCCAUCGACCUGCAAGGAGUAGCGCCGUGUUGGACGUUGCCAUCCCUGACGCUGCUGGUCCGCUGCGAGUUACCUGUCACCUGCUCCCAGGUCGCCCCCUAAGUCGAGCUCCCCACGCUCGACCUGCAAGAUGUGAUGUGGCCAAGAACUGCUCUCUGCCGCGGGAGUAGAUUGGAAAGGCAAGGCGCAAGGAGAGAUUGGAAAGGCGGUUGCUGCUGCUGGACGAUGUUGCUGCUGCCGCCGCUGCCUCUCGUCGAUUCGGGCAUGAGCACAUUCUUGGAGUGGAUUUGCAUUUCAGAAAGUUUACAAGUGGGAGUACAUGAAGUACUACAGUUUAAAUAGAGGAGAAGAUGGUGCCUGCUCCAUGAUGAUGCCGCCAUCAGCUACGAAUUCCUCGAACAUGGCGAGUACUCCAAUGCUUGUAUUCCUAUCAAUGUUUACUGCUGUAAUCAUGGAGUAGUUAGCUGAUGUAAUCAUGGCCGGAGAAAUGCACCAUUAGUUG